rnacentral:rRNA from 1 species
GAACGGAAUCUUUCGGGAUUUAGUGGCGGACGGGUGAGUAACGCGUGAGAAUCUGCCUUCAGGUUCGGGACAACAGCUGGAAACGGCUGCUAAUACCGGAUGUGCCGAGAGGUGAAAGCUUUAGUGCCUGGAGAUGAGCUCGCGUCUGAUUAGCUAGUAGGAGUGGUAACGGCACCCCUAGGCGACGAUCAGUAGCUGGUCUGAGAGGAUGAUCAGCCACACUGGGACUGAGACACGGCCCAGACUCCUACGGGAGGCAGCAGUGGGGAAUUUUCCGCAAUGGGCGCAAGCCUGACGGAGCAAGACCGCGUGAGGGAAGAAGGUCUGUGGAUUGUAAACCUCUUUUGAUAGGGAAGAAGAUAGUGACGGUACCUAUCGAAUCAGCCUCGGCUAACUCCGUGCCAGCAGCCGCGGUAAUACGGAGGAGGCAAGCGUUAUCCGGAAUUAUUGGGCGUAAAGAGUCCGUAGGUGGGUGACCAAGUCAGUUGUUAAAUAGUGAAGCUUAACUUCAUAGAGGCGACUGAAACUGGUCAUCUAGAGUGUGGUAGGGGUAGAGGGAAUUUCCAGUGUAGCGGUGAAAUGCGUAGAUAUUGGAAAGAACACCGGUGGCGAAAGCGCUCUACUGGGCCUGCACUGACACUGAGGGACGAAAGCUAGGGGAGCGAAAGGGAUUAGAUACCCCUGUAGUCCUAGCCGUAAACGAUGGAUACUAGGCGUUGCCCGUAUCGACCCGAGCCGUGCCGAAG